rnacentral:lncRNA from 1 species
CAAGACAGGGGUAUUCUGACUUUUUUCAACAAUUUACUUUGAAUAGAUAUAGUAAUGGGGACGUCCAGCCACAAAUUUCCUUUCAUUUGGAGCUCUGAAGGGUAAAGAUGAACUACAGGUAAAAGGUAUUGAGCUGCUCCCCAGAAUUCAAGAUGACCUGCACUUUGCAGGAGAAGGUUGCCAUGAUUCCAGUGAUGAGAAGGGAGGAGAAAGGCAUGCUUCAGAAGCCCUGCAAAAUGACAGCCUCCUGCUAAGUCUGCAUCAGCCACACUUCUCACUAAGUUAAAGAUGGGUAACAUACCUGUUCCUGGCAGUGGCCCAAAAGUGCUUACAUUUCGUCCCUCACCACAGCAUGAUGGAAAUUGUGCUUCUCUAUUUCUUUCAG